rnacentral:lncRNA from 1 species
GAAUAAACGGAGCUGGUAACGGCCGCCGGCGGGUAAACUGGGAAUUGCAUAGCAGUUCUUUUUACCGGAGGAAACGGGGAAGUAACGGAGGGGUUUUUCUUGUGGGUGUUGAAAGUGGAGAGGCUCAGAUACGACUGAGGUUGACCCGCCGGUAAAGUAACGAUCGGAAAGCCAUGACGUAUUGAAGAUGUCAGUUGAAUUUGAAAGACUACCGCAAUCUAUAUGGACUGAAUAAUCUGCCAAAAAAAAAAGAGGGAAAAGAAGAGUUAGUUAAGUUAGUUAAAGUAAAACAGUUGGGGGAAAAUGAUGAGAAAAUGAAGAUGAAGUUAGUUAAAGUGGAACUUACUGAAAGGAUAGUGAAGAGAAGAGGAAGAAGGGAGAAAGGGUAAAAGGGAGAUGAAGAAGAAGAGAGACAUAUUGGUGUAAAGAGGGAAGAGAGAUAAUGUGAAUUUAGUUGUUUGGACAUAAGGGAGGGAAAAAGGGGGUGGUUUGGGGUGGGGACGACUGAGGUUGACCCGCCGGUAAAGUAACGAUCGGAAAGCCAUGACGUAUUGAAGAUGUCAGUUGAAUUUGAAAGACUACCGCAAUCUAUAUGUACUGAAUAAUCUGCAAAAAAAAAGAGGGAAAAGAAGAGUUAGUUAAGUUAGUUAAAAGUAAAACAGUUGGGGGAAAAUGAUGAGAAAAUGAAGAUGAAGUUAGUUAAAGUGGAGCUUACUGAAAGGAUAGUGAAGAGAAGAGGAAGAAGGGAGAAAGGGUAAAAGGGAGAUGAAGAAGAAGAAGAGAGACAUAUUGGUGUAGAUAGGGAAGAGAGAUAAUGUGAGUUUAGUUGUUUGGACAUAAAGGGAGGGAAAAAGGGGG